rnacentral:lncRNA from 10 species
UGGCAUCUGGUGAGGGCACUCCUGCUUCAUCCUUUCUAGAUGGAAGAUGGAAGGGAAAAAGUUGGGGGUGGGGGGUGGGGAGAGAGGAAAGAGAAAGAAAGGUGGGAGGAAGAAUCUAAUCCCAUGAGCCCUUUUUAUAACAGCAUUAGUCCAUUCAAAAGGGCUUGAAAGAGACAAGCCUCUGGGGCUAAACACAUCCCAUUAUGCCCCGCCUCCAACACUGUUGCAUUGGGGAUCAAGUCUCCAGCACAUUAAUUUCUGUGGCACAUAUUCUAACCAUAGCAAUCUACUUUUACCUUU